ACAAACAAAUCAGAAAACUGCAUUUUAGCUUCUACUAUUCUGGUAAUACGUUUACCUUCUACAACUACACUGUCCUCAUGAGAAAAUACUAAUUAUACUAAUCACCAAGUGUUUAACAUUGCGUAGGUAUCACAGCUCAAAUGCUAAGCAAGCAGCAGCAUCCCUCCCAAAUGAAGUGCCAGGAGUUAUUUGGCAUCAUAUUUUCUGGUGUUUACUAUGCCUAUCAAACUGAGUCCAUGUCAGGCUCAGCGUGUGGCUCUGAACAUAGCCCAGCAAAGGGACAGUACAGUAUGGCUUGGUAGAAAUUGGAAAAAUGUGGGAGUACAAGAAGGACUGUACAGAGCAGCGGCUGUGGAGCAAGAUAAACAGCAGGAGAACCAAGGACACCUUUAGAAGAAGGAACAGCUCGCAGCUCUGACUGGUAAGCGCCUGCAUGAACGGUUGAGGAGUGUUUGUAGAAUGCUCUGUUGACAUUUAAAGGUGGAUGGGAAAGUUGUAGGGGCGGAUGUGAAAUCUAGAAAAAGAAAACUUGUGAAGGUAUAUAAGCGAUCUGAGAACUUGCAAUAAAGGAUUUUGAUCAUUCACUGAGUCCGUGCAUCAGACACUGCAAAUGGCACCCACUGCAUGGGGCAAAUCAAGGCGAGGCUGAGCGAGCCCGGGCAGCACCGCCCGACUGAACUACGGAGAGUAGCAUUAGCUGGUAUUCUUAAAUAGAUGAGCAAAAAUGUCCUUGAAAUUCCAAAAACUGGCUUCUCUCUUGAUGGGGAGCUUCGGGACAAAAUUGGCACAGAACUCUGGGAGGCUUCUAUUACUAUAAGACAGAACGGCUGCUAAACUUCUACCUGUUUGGCGUCAAAUAAUGGAAGGGCUUAAACAAAUUCGACACGGAAGAAUUUCUUCUGACUAUUCCCUAUCACUCUCCCUCCCCCCCCACCGCUGCCCCUCGGUGCGGAAAGCAGCCCCUGCCCGGACUCGAUCCGCGGCUCCGAACCCCGCGGUCCGGGGAGAAAUCGCGAGCCCUCCCCGCGCUCCCGCUCUCCGCCCCGCCCCCGUCAAGAGGCGAGACGCUCCCGCCCUCCGCCUCGCCUACGUCGCCUGCUGCUGCUGCAUCUCUGCAGCCUGCAUGUAACUUGGUUUUGUAACCAACUACAAGACAAGGACGGACCGGAACCAGAGGAAGUUUUUGAUUCUAGUCCAGCAGAUCGGGAAGACGAACCGAACAUUUUCCUUCCUGACGAUAAGCGGAAGGGAGCGGGAAAGAAAAAUUUUUGUACAAGGUAUCAUUCAGCAGACUGAAGGAUCUUUUCUUAAGGAAGUUAACAGCCCUGCUUUGUUUGUACAGCUCAAGGACAUGAACACGGACUUGACCUGACUUGCAGACUGACCGGUCCGGAGUGCACUGAGACAAACGUGGCAGACGUUGAGACAAACAUGAAGAGCCUGUACAGGGAUGCAUUGAGACAAAUGCGGCAGCCCAAGGAUUCAUCACCCUGUCAUGGUUUGGUGGGUUUUUUGGUUUUCAGUAUUCCACAUCGGAACAUCAUGUAGUGCACUGGGAGUUAAAGUAUUAAUACUCAAAUUCCAGGUUCCUAUUCCUAUACAUCACAGAAGUCAUGGGAUCUGGCCCUUCCGGGUGGGGCGCUCUCUUACUGUCUUGCAGUGUGUGCUGGAGGGUGCUUUCCUAGCCAUUCGAAGCUUUUCAGGUUUGACUCAGUCUUGGGAUUCUCCCUCUUCUAUUUUAAUUGAUUUAUUAGUGUUAAUUUCAAUUAGAUUGUAUUAUAUUGUGUUAUCUUGCAU